GACGAACGCUGGCGGCGUGCUUAACACAUGCAAGUCGAGCGGAAAGGCCACUUCGGUGGUACUCGAGCGGCGAACGGGUGAGUAACACGUGAGUAAUCUGCCCCUGGCUUUGGGAUAGCCACCGGAAACGGUGAUUAAUACCGGAUAUGACCACGUCUCGCAUGGGGUGUGGUGGAAAGUUUUUCGGCCAGGGAUGUGCUCGCGGCCUAUCAGCUUGAUGGUGAGGUAAUGGCUCACCAUGGCUUCGACGGGUAGCCGGCCUGAGAGGGUGACCGGUCACACUGGGACUGAGACACGGCCCAGACUCCUACGGGAGGCAGCAGUGGGGAAUAUUGGACAAUGGGCGGGAGCCUGAUCCAGCAACGCCGCGUGAGGGAUGACGGCCUUCGGGUUGUAAACCUCUUUCAGUACCGACGAAGCGCAAGUGACGGUAGGUACAGAAGAAGCACCGGCCAACUACGUGCCAGCCGCCGCAGUAACAC
rnacentral:rRNA from 1 species